rnacentral:rRNA from 1 species
UACGUAGGUGGCGAGCGUUGUCCGGAUUUACUGGGCGUAAAGGGCGUGCAGGCGGUUUGUUAAGUGCAGGGUGAAAGCUCCCGGCUCAACUGGGAGAGGUCCUUGCAUACUGGCGAACUCGAGGGAGGCAGAGGAAAGUGGAAUUCCCGGUGUAGUGGUGAAAUGCGUAGAUAUCGGGAGGAACACCAGUGGCGAAGGCGACUACCUGGACUGUUCUUGACGCUGAGGCGCGAAAGCUGGGGGAGCAAACGGG